UACGGGGGGAGCAAACGUUGUUCGGAAUCACUGGGCGUAAAGGGCGUGUAGGCGGCUGAAUAAGUGGGAUGUUAAAUCCCCCGGCUCAACCGGGGACCUGCAUCUCAUACUGUUCAGCUCGAGCACAUCAGAGGAGUGUGGAAUUCCUGGUGUAGCGGUGAAAUGCGCAGAUAUCAGGAGGAACACCAAUGGCGAAGGCAGCACUCUGGGACGUGACUGACGCUGAGACACGAAAGCGUGGGGAGCAAACAGG
rnacentral:rRNA from 1 species